UAAGGAGGAGAAAAGGCAUGUGGAAGUAAGCAAUGAAUGUAAAAUGUCGAAAUCCUCUGUUUAACGUGAUAUCGGACACAGGAGACCGAGGGGGAAGUCCCUUACGUCACUACAGCUCACAGAGAGGAGGAGCGAACAGCGAGGAAGCGGGAAGGACGAAUGCUUGUACGCUCUCUUCUGCACGGCCGGCAACUGGAGAGGAAGCUGCAGACUUUCUCUCCAGCGGACAAAUAUCCUGUUUGUGACUUUACCGCGCCUUUUUUAUUAAUUAAAGUGCCAAUUUGAAAACAUCUCAGAGACUCCAUUUAGUCUCCUUUUUAAGCUUCUCUUUCCUGGACGCGAGAAUAACCAUCACAGUUAACAAGACGCCAUGGAAAUGGUGUUCGCUGACUCUCCGUCAGAAGAUGAGGAUGUACUUCGGCCUCAAUCAGACCCUGAUUAUGAACUUCAGGAAACUGAUGAAGACGAGUAUCAAAUGGCUUCUGGAUCACAGCCAUCAACAUCUGCCUCAUCCGAGCUACGACGUGCAUCAGAUCAGCAUACAGUUGCCCCAGAGCCAUCAACAUCCAAGCUACGCCGCCGGACGUCUGCACCAGUACUAACUCAGCCUCCCUCUGCAUCUUCUGAUUCUGAACCAUGGUCCCUCAAUGUUACAUUGCAGUGGUGAACAGCUUCCUUUUCCACAAGGAGCUGCACAAGAUGAGGGGUGACCCCAGCAGGACGAAGCCACACACCCAGAAGUCCUUCAGGGAGCAGCUUGCUGCAGACAUGAGGGGUGAAGUCCCUGCAGCACCACCACCACUCCCCCCCCCAUCAUCACUCUUAUGCAUUCCCAAGUAUUAUGGGGAAGAUGCCACCGCGCUCAGGAGGUGCUCUGAUGCUGGCAACACAACGGUGAAGACCUAUCUACUGCACUAAGUGCCUGGUGCCUCAAUUCAAAAACACUGAACACAUUCAGGUUGUGUACAUUUUUUCUUUUUUGCCAGUGUUUACAAAAAAAAUGCUUAUGGUGUUAUUUCGGUUUUAGUGUAGUUUUUUUGUGUGUUAUUUUUGAAAUAAAUCUGCUCCUGUUGGAGACACAUUUA